UACAGAGGUCUCAAGCGUUGUUCGGAUUCAUUGGGCGUAAAGGGUGUGUAGGUGGCGCGCUAAGUCGGGUGUGAAAUUUCGGAGCUUAACUCCGAAACUGCACUUGAUACUGCCUUGCUUGAGUACUGGAGAGGAGAUUGGAAUUUACGGUGUAGCAGUGAAAUGCGUAGAUAUCGUAAGGAAGACCAGUGGCGAAGGCGAAUCUCUGGACAGUUACUGACACUGAGGCACGAAGGCCAGGGGAGCAAACGGG
rnacentral:rRNA from 1 species